AACAGGAUUAGAUACCCUGGUAGUCCACGCCGUAAACGAUGUCGACUUGGAGGUUGUGCCCCUGAGGCGUGGCUUCCGGAGCUAACGCGUUAAGUCGACCGCCUGGGGAGUACGGCCGCAAGGUUAAAACUCAAAUGAAUUGACGGGGGCCCGCACAAGCGGUGGAGCAUGUGGUUUAAUUCGAUGCAACGCGAAGAACCUUACCUACUCUUGACAUCCAGAGAACUUAGCAGAGAUGCUUUGGUGCCUUCGGGAACUCUGAGACAGGUGCUGCAUGGCUGUCGUCAGCUCGUGUUGUGAAAUGUUGGGUUAAGUCCCGCAACGAGCGCAACCCUUAUCCUUUGUUGCCAGCGGUUCGGCCGGGAACUCAAAGGAGACUGCCAGUGAUAAACUGGAGGAAGGUGGGGAUGACGUCAAGUCAUCAUGGCCCUUACGAGUAGGGCUACACACGUGCUACAAUGGCAUAUACAAAGAGAAGCGACCUCGCGAGAGCAAGCGGACCUCAUAAAGUAUGUCGUAGUCCGGAUUGGAGUCUGCAACUCGACUCCAUGAAGUCGGAAUCGCUAGUAAUCGUGGAUCAGAAUGCCACGGUGAAUACGUUCCCGGGCCUUGUACACACCGCCCGUCACACCAUGGGAGUGGGUUGCAAAAGAAGUAGGUAGCUUAACCUUCGGGAGGGCGCUUACCACUUUGUGAUUCAUGACUGGGGUGAAGUCGUAACAAGGUAACC
rnacentral:rRNA from 1 species